UACGUAGGGUGCGAGCGUUAAUCGGAAUUACUGGGCGUAAAGCGUGCGUAGGCGGUUCUCCAAGUCCGUUGUGAAAGCCCCGGGCUCAACCUCGAGAUGUCGAUGGAAACCGUCUGGCUAGAGUCCGGAAGAGGAGUGUGGAAUUCCUGGUGUAGCGGUGAAAUGCGCAGAUAUCAGGAAGAACACCUAUGGCGAAGGCAGCACUCUGGGACGGUACUGACGCUGAGACGCGAAAGCGUGGGGAGCGAACAGG
rnacentral:rRNA from 1 species